rnacentral:rRNA from 1 species
AGUGGCGAACGGGUGAGUAACACGUGAGUAACCUGCCCUUGACUCUGGGAUAAGCGUUGGAAACGACGUCUAAUACCGGAUACGAGCUUCCACCGCAUGGUGAGUUGCUGGAAAGAAUUUUGGUCAAGGAUGGACUCGCGGCCUAUCAGCUUGUUGGUGAGGUAAUGGCUCACCAAGGCGACGACGGGUAGCCGGCCUGAGAGGGUGACCGGCCACACUGGGACUGAGACACGGCCCAGACUCCUACGGGAGGCAGCAGUGGGGAAUAUUGCACAAUGGGCGAAAGCCUGAUGCAGCAACGCCGCGUGAGGGACGACGGCCUUCGGGUUGUAAACCUCUUUUAGCAGGGAAGAAGCGAAAGUGACGGUACCUGCAGAAAAAGCACCGGCUAACUACGUGCCAGCAGCCGCGGUAAUACGUAGGGUGCAAGCGUUGUCCGGAAUUAUUGGGCGUAAAGAGCUCGUAGGCGGUUUGUCGCGUCUGCUGUGAAAUCCCGAGGCUCAACCUCGGGUCUGCAGUGGGUACGGGCAGACUAGAGUGCGGUAGGGGAGAUUGGAAUUCCUGGUGUAGCGGUGGAAUGCGCAGAUAUCAGGAGGAACACCGAUG